GAUGAACGCUGGCGGCGUGCCUAAUACAUGCAAGUCGAGCGGACGGACGAGAAGCUUCCUUCUCUGAUGUUUGCCGCGGACGGGAGAGUCACACGUGGAUAACCCACCUAUAAGACUGGGAUAACUUCGGGACACCGGCGCUUAUACCGUACGAUAUUUUGAACCGCAUGGGUCGAAAGUGAAAGACGGUCUUGCUGUCCCUUCGAGCUGGCUCCGCGCUGCAUUAGCUAGUUGGUAAGGUAACGGCUUAGCAAGGCCACGAUGCAUAGGCGACCUGAGAGAGGGAUCGGCCACCCUGGAACUGAGACACGGACCAGGCUCCUACGGGAGGCAGCAGUAGGCAAUGUGCCGCAAUGGGCGAAAGCCUUACGGAGCAACGGCGCGUGAGAGGUGGAGGCCCUCGGAUCGUAAAGCUCGGUUAUGAGGUGAGAACAUAUGUGUAAGUAACUGAGGACAUCUUGACGGUAGCUGGUCAGAAAGCCACGGCUAACUACGUG
rnacentral:rRNA from 1 species